rnacentral:misc_RNA from 1 species
UUCCCUUGUUUGACACGCUGAGCCACCCAUCCGCCGACAACAGAGACUUUGUACUUUCUCACUCGUCGCUUCCUGGUUGCCAAGUGGAAACAUUACCGGCUACAACCUCGAGCAGCAAGUAGUGCUUGGCUUCCUACAGCGAAAAGAAGAAAUAGGUUUGCUGUUUCGUAUCUUGCUGUCCUACACCGAAAGCUCAAGAAGAAGAAAUAUAUUUAUUUUUGAAGUGACAUUGUAGGAGGAACAUGUUUUAAAAGAAAUAUUUACAUCAUCUGGGUGCAGUAACGUGAGUACGUGGCAGUCAGACUGGAAAUUGGAAGGAAAUGGCUGUGGAGCGGUUCCUUGACUAUUUGGCGGAGAAUCCUAGAUGGAUAGCCUUUGGUCUAGCCGGCUACACCACCCUGUACCUCAUCACUCGCAUGCUGAGUGGCCCACGCGCUGGACGCAACCCCUUCGCCACAGACAGCAGGAAGCCCAGAGAGCCCCUAGUCACAGAUCCUCAUGCCAGGGACGCAGUUCUCAAGCAGAGGUUCAAACAAAAUAAAGUGCCGGAUAAUCUGGAUGCCAUUGUAAUUGGCAGUGGUGCAGGGGGGCUAACAGCUGCUAUUCUCCUGGCAAAGGCUGGCAAGAGAGUUGUGGUUGUUGAACAGCAUGAUCAGGCUGGAGGAUGCUGUCACACCUUUGAGGAAAAAGGAUUUGAAUUUGAUACAGGUAUACACUACAUAGGUGACAUGGAGAACUCCACUUCACGUCAACUAUUGGACCAAAUAACAGAUGGACAGCUGGACUGGAUAUGCACAGACCAGAUCUUUGACACUGUGGCCACUGGCGAUCCAGAGAAUGUGAAGCUUUUUCCCAUGAAGACAGGCAAAGAUGACUACUUUCUUCAGCUGAUCAAGUUUUUCCCUGAAGAAAAAGAAUCCAUUAUGAAGUACAAACAGCUGAUUUUAGAUGCAAGCAAAAGCUUCUUUGGUUUGGUUGCCUUAAAGAUGAUGCCUAUGCGGCUUGCAUUGUUGCUGCUGAAGACAGGGCUUGCACGUCUGUUCUUUUCUUUCUCCAAGUACACUAGUGUCACUUUGCAAGAGACUUUGGACUCUUUGACAGCCAACAAAGAACUACACCUUGUUCUUUCUUACAUUGGUGGGGACUAUGGUGCACUUCCAAAGGAUACACCAUUUCUUCUCCAUGCACUUCUUAUCAAACACUAUUUGAAUGGGUCUUAUUAUCCCAUUGGUGGACCAUCAGAAAUUUCCUUCCAGAUGAUCCAGGCCAUUGAGCGCCUGGGAGGGAAAGUUUUUGUACAGGCACCUGUCACUGAGAUCAUCAUCAGUCCACAGGGGAGGGCAGUUGGUGUUAAGGUAGGAAAGAGCUCAGGCAGCGUGGCUAUAUAUGCCAAGACUAUUAUCUCUGAUGCUGGAGUGAUCAACACAUUUAAACAUCUGCUGCCCAGGGAGGUGGCCAAAAAGUCAUGCAUCUAUCCUGUCAUUGAUGCUGUUGGACCCAGUCUCUCUUUCGUGUCAACAUUUAUUGGAGUUGAUGGGAGCCAGUCCCAGCUGCAGCUUCCCUCUGGCAACAUCUGGUACUACAAGCACAAUGACAUCAACAAAAGUGUGGAUGAAUACUUGUCACUGGGUGUGGAUGAUAUCACUACGGCCUCUGCACCUCUCUACUUCAUCUCCUUUCCCUCUGCCAAAGACCCUACUUGGGAACAGCGACACUCAGGCAAGAGUGCAGUGCUUGUUAUCACCUUAGCCAGAUGGGAAUGGUUUAAGCAAUGGGAGAAUGAGCGUCUCAGGCACCGUGGUCAGGAUUAUGAAGAUAUUAAAGAAGCUUUGGGUCUGCAGAUGUGGCGCCUUUGCUGUAAUCUCUUUCCUCAGCUUGAUGGAAAAAAAGAGUAUAUGGAGGUUGGUACACCUGUAACUAACAAGUACUACCUAGCAGCUUCAUCUGGAGAAAUGUAUGGCUUGGACCAUGGUAAAAAUCGCUUUUCUCCAGAAACUUUUGCUGCCCUGCGAUCUGACACUGGCAUUCCUGGACUCUUCUUGACUGGCCAAGACAUCCUCUCAUGUGGAUUCACUUCAGUUUUAUAUGCAGGGCUUUUCUGUGCAUCCAGCAUACUUCACCGAAAUCUCUUGAAUGACUUGAAUGCGUUGGAUAAAUCUCUCAAGAAAUCACAGUGAUUGUAUGGAUUUAAAAUUUCCAAGCUUCCUUGCCCUGAACAAUGUUCAUGAGUCAAGUUGUGGGCGACAAUCUGAAAAAUCAACUGUUGCUGACCUACUCUCCCACUUUGCCUGCUGCCCCUCUCCCCACCCUCAGAUGAUUCAUUCUGGAUCAGCCAAAUGUAAACAUCUGCUUUUGCCUGAGCUUUUUUUUCUGUGGGUGACAUUCCUCACAGACCUGCAGCCACUGUUCAAGUUGAGGCUGGAUUAAAGGUGUUGAUACAAAAUGGUGUCUGUCAUUAACAAACUGUUGACAGCAGAGAAAUGUCAACAAUCAAACAUGGGCUUAUGUGAUUCCUAAAUAAAUGAUUAACUUGCUUAAUGUUAUUUAUUAGAGUCUGUAGCUUGUGCUUGUUGCUAAAGUACAAUACAAAUAGAAGUAUUGAAGUACAGAAAUCAUGGUUGAGAUGUAUUUGGUCAUACAAAUUUUGGUUUGGAGGAUAUAAUUAUAUGCAUUAUGCACUGCAAUUACCAUUUGUUUUAUUUACUAUUAAAAUUCAUGUUAUCAUAUUCACAAACAUGUAUGCACACAUGCAUCCCUAUUUUUGAUUAAAAUUAUUGAUUAAAAUAUGCUUGAUCUUU